GGCGAGGGGAGUGAAAAAGAACCUGAAACCGUGUACGUACAAGCAGUGGGAGCACAGGUUUACCUGUGUGACUGCGUACCUUUUGUAUAAUGGGUCAGCGACUUAUAUUCUGUAGCAAGGUUAACCGUAUAGGGGAGCCGCAGGGAAACCGAGUCUUAACCGGGCGUUAAGUUGCAGGGUAUAGACCCGAAACCCGGUGAUCUAGCCAUGGGCAGGUUGAAGGUUGGGUAACACUAACUGGAGGACCGAACCGAC
rnacentral:rRNA from 1 species